rnacentral:lncRNA from 1 species
CGGCGGUGGUAAGUAUCGAUUUCUCCGGGACGCCAUCCAGUCGACGGUAAGCUCCGUGAGUCACCUCACCGUUCCUCUUUCAUAUUACAUCGAGAAGUACACCCUCAGCACUAGUAUAGUACAAGUGACUCAGUGAGUCACAGAGUCCGAGUCAAUAUAUCCGGCCACCCCUCUAAUUACUAAACGAAAACUAUACGCAUUACACCCGGGUAUAUAAUUCGUCGCGAAAUCCAUCCGUAUUAAUACCGGAGACCAAUUACCACCCUUAGACUUUCCCAGGGGUCCGUGAUCAGGCGAAAUAAUUCUCCCAAGUUCGAUCGAGGAAAAGAAUGACUCAAUUAAAACUUACGUCGCUCUUUAUACUAGCAACAAUGAAAUUAGACGUCAUCCGUUUGCCCGCAGAAGCUCGAACUUCGUGCACGAAACGAUUUAUGACUAGCCAAACAUUACGAAAGCUCGAUUAGCACGCGUAACUUAAUUCUUGCUAAUUCUUCGGCUUCCGUAUCCCGAUUUCUAAUAAAUGUAUUUUGGGGCUGUAGUUAAAAAUUGAAAAGAAUUAACCUUGAGUAAAAUUUGUUAUAAAAUUUUUUUUACAGACGGUCCAAAUUCUCGUGUCACCGAUGAAUGGGUAACUUGCUUGACCUCGAGCUUUCGCGUUUAGCACUGGGAAAGUAUGAAAGUGUAGAAGGUUCCGGUAUGCAUUGCACAUAUUUAUGUGUGUGUGUGUAUGUGUGUGUCGUGGGAUCAACUACGCCCAGUACAUAAGCUCCAUUAGGGUUCAUUUCCCUAAUUGAUUAUACGUUAGGGUGACUGGUAGCUAUUCAACCCUCCGAAUUUUUCGUUGGUGACGAAUACAGAGAUUUUAUAAUCAAACUCGACGGUAAAGAAACCGCGUUUCGUAACUGCUAAGGUGAGAUGAAAACGGCAGGGAAUACUGAUAAUUCGUUGCAGUUAGACUCUGGCUUACCACCAACGUCAAUUUCCUGCUCGAGUGCUUCGAGAAUACGAUUCGUCAGUUUUUACAGCUGCAUGCGGCGAUAAUUUGAAGACCUGCUAGGCUGAUGUCUGCGCAUCGUCUUCCCUCUUACCGAAGAGCUCUUGGCUCGAGUGUGACUCUCAAAAUUUUUUCUCUCAUUUCUCCUGCUCCUGAAAAAUUUGUAAAAGUUGAAACUUCACUUAAUUACUGCAUUCAAUUAAAAAUUUAUCAUGUUCAUCUCUGGCUGUUGCAUUUUUUUCGAUCUCAUCUAACGAAGAAUCAAUGUAGGAGCAGUCUUUUGUACCGUGGAAAAAACGUUUUAAUAUCAAGUGGAUUUUCUAUUUCAAACAUCGUUCAUUGUAACUAUCGUGUCUUGAAAAAAAUAUAUAAAUAAAGAUCUGAUGUACCAUGAAUGGAAUACACCCCAACAAUAUUUUGCUGAAUUUUUCAAGUAUUUUGAAUGUCAAAUUAAAACGGAAUUAAAUUCUUUGAAAACCUUUUGUUUUGCUUUUAUAAUAUUAUUGCUUA